GGCUCAGGAUGAACGCUGGCGGCGUGCUUAACACAUGCAAGUCGAACGGUGAAGCCCCGCUUGCGGGGUGGAUCAGUGGCGAACGGGUGAGUAACACGUGAGCAACCUGCCCCUGACUCUGGGAUAAGCGCUGGAAACGGCGUCUAAUACUGGAUACGAACCGCAGCCGCAUGGCUCGUGGUUGGAAAGAUUUUUUGGUUGGGGAUGGGCUCGCGGCCUAUCAGCUUGUUGGUGAGGUAAUGGCUCACCAAGGCGUCGACGGGUAGCCGGCCUGAGAGGGUGACCGGCCACACUGGGACUGAGACACGGCCCAGACUCCUACGGGAGGCAGCAGUGGGGAAUAUUGCACAAUGGGCGAAAGCCUGAUGCAGCAACGCCGCGUGAGGGACGACGGCCUUCGGGUUGUAAACCUCUUUUAGCAAGGAAGAAGCGAAAGU
rnacentral:rRNA from 1 species